AACUAUCCCUAAAGAUCUGAACAGAUGGAUAGAGGAAAUAGGCAUAAAACCCAGUUUAGCACAGCUGCAUAAAACAGUGUUAUUAGGGACAGCUAGGAUACUUAGGAGGGUUCUUGGCAUCUAAGGCUGCUUGUUGUGGCCUGAUGUUAGGACUCUUUUCAUUUCCAACAGUCUAACCUGUUGAGUG